UAUCUUGCGUGACUCAGCUGAAGAUGGGAACAGUUUUAGGCUUCUGCGUCUUUCUCUUACUGACUGCAUUUUUAAUUCUGGUCAUAAUGCAAGCCGAUUCCUUCUCUCUGGUACUUGCAGGAGGAUGCGCUCCAUAUGACGGAAAAGGACGUGGAAGGCUUGGAGGCACUCCUGGAUACAAUCGCAGUUGUAACUUUUCCGGCUGACGGUCUUCUUAUUCACCAAUUUCAUCCUAACCACGCAUACAAUAAAUGUCUUCGAGCUCGCUUGUGAAUGGUAUUGACACGGGCAUGGAAUGAGAUUGAGCUAUGCCAUUGUGUAUAUCAGUUAUUGGGAUAUUGAAGAGACGACAAUAAAGUAAAAAAAUGA